GUAUAUAUCAGUUAAAUGUAAUCAAAUCAAAUUAUUUACAGUAGAAGAAACAACAAAGAGUAAGAAGACAGCCUAACCAGUAAAAUAAGUUCCAUGUAUUCAACCUUUAUGAAAUUUCAACCUAUUUUAUUUGUCGUGCGUUCCCAGUUAUCCCAGAAUGCACUUAGUUUUGCAUGUGAAGGAGAUGGUGGUCGUGUCGCGAGUUCGUAACUCUUG